GAUGAACGCUAGCUACAGGCUUAACACAUGCAAGUCGAGGGACCGGCGCACGGGUGAGUAACACGUAUCCACCCUGCCCUUUACUCGGGGAUAGCCUUUCGAAAGAAAGAUUAAUAUCCGAUGUAAAGCAUGGGGAUGCGUUCCUUUAGGUUGUUGGUGAGGUAACGGCUCACCAAGCCUUCGAUGGAUAGGGGUUCUGAGAGGAAGGUCCCCCAGAUUGGAGCUGAGGCACGGUCCACACUCCUACGGGAGGCAGCAGUGAGGAAUACUGGUCAAUCGGCGUUAGCCUGAACCAGCCAAGUAGCGUGAAGGAUGAAGGCUUAUGGGUCGUAAACUUCUUUUAUGUAAGAAUAUUUACUAUAUGAAUAAGGAUCGGCUAACUCCGUGCCAGCAGCCGCGGUAAUUC
rnacentral:rRNA from 1 species